AUACGUAGGUGGCAAGCGUUGUCCGGAUUUACUGGGCGUAAAGCGCGCGCAGGUGGCCCGUCAAGUCUAGGGUGAAAUCUCCCGGCUCAACCGGGAGAGGUCUCUGGAAACUGACGGGCUUGAGGAGAGCAGAGGAGAGUGGAAUUUCCGGUGUAGCGGUGAUAUGCGUAGAUAUCGGAAGGAACACCAGUGGCGAAGGCGGCUCUCUGGGCUCUUCCUGACGCUGAGGCGCGAAAGCGUGGGGAGCGAACCGGAUUAGAAACCCUAGUAGUCC
rnacentral:rRNA from 1 species